ACUCUCCUUAUAAUAUCGAUAGAGCAUUCUACCGCCUGCCUUCCCCUCCGCCGUGCUUGCACGUUGCAUUCAUGGACACGGAGGAGGGCGAGUUCAUCAUCUGCGGCAACGGCGGCUCGUCCGAGGAUGCGGCUUUCGACGCCGUUGUCGGCGUCAUCGAAGAUUUUAUGAUUUCCUUUGACCCCGAGCAGGUAUGGCAGUCGGUGCCACCCCUGCACACCGUCUCGGGUGAUCAUGAUCAGCACACUGUGUACACAUCCUUCUUAGAGAAAGUAGAUCAGGAACUUGACGCGCACGUGCUCGCUGCGUGUCCAGAGUAUAAAUCAAUUGAAGAAGUCGUUACGCUGCUGCAGAAACGUCACGAGGACAUCACGGAGGAGGUAUGGGCUUUUGUGAGUGAAGGAUGCUUCGACUACGAGGCGUUUAUGGAGCAAUGGAAAGAAAAGCGGCCGUAGACAUCCUCGGGUCGCAUCUCAUUUCUGGCUGAUUGCACUUUGAGCGUAGCGUGCACCCCUACCCUUGUUCAAGUAGCACCGCAACAGACCUAGCGGCGAUGCGCGCCAAUGACAGAGAGAGACGCAACAUCUGUUUCUCCGAGUACCACGAAAAGAAGGAAAGAAAGCGUCCGCCAACGGUUCACUACUGCACGGAGUCGAGGGCGCCUGUGAAGUGUGUGUUUCGGCCUGUCCGCACUUCGUCAUCUGUCACUGUGCGCUACCACUGUUCGGAGAGCCGCGUGAGCAGCGUCUCGCCGUCGCCGGCGUUGCCUCCAGGACCGGGAGUGGCACGAGAACUGUGUGCUGGCAGAACCCCUUUUUCUCUCUCGCUGCUUCUCGGACUCCGUUGCCGUUUCUGCCGUCUAUCUAUCUUUCUGUUUCUCUCGCACGUGUUUUGGGCUGCCCGUCUUUAAUGGAUAUUCCCCGUCUCUUCGUCGUUUUGUGCGUCCUUGCUACACUGUUUGUGUGUGCGCAUGCUUGGAUGCGCAAGCCUCGUAGCCCCGAGCACGAUCGUGCUACGUGAUCAGAUGGAUAGGUGGCACCAUCACCAUCGCUGUCGUGUGGUAUUUGAUGCUGUGCGUGAGCCGCUCUAUCAUAUACGUGCAUAUAUAUAUAUACAUACGUAUUGAGAGUUUGUCCUG
rnacentral:misc_RNA from 1 species